CAAUAGCGUAUAUUAAAGUUGUUGCAGUUAAAAAGCUCGUAGUUGAAUUUUUGCUUGCCGCCGAUGUCGGAACUUCCGUACGUUCGGCGGCGUGCAUCCUUGGGUGGAACCUGUGUGGCAUUAGGUUGUCGUGCAGGGGAUGCUCAUCGUUUACUGUGAAAAAAUUAGAGUGUUCAAAGCAGGCUUAUGCCGUUGAAUAUAUUAGCAUGGAAUAAUAAGAUAGGACCUUGGUACUAUUUUGUUGGUUUGCGCACCGAGGUAAUGAUUAACAGGGACAGUUGGGGGUAUUCGUAUUCCAUUGUCAGAGGUGAAAUUCUUGGAUUUCUGGAAGACGAACUACUGCGAAAGCAUUUACCAAGGAUGUUUUCAUUAG
rnacentral:rRNA from 1 species